UCCCAGACUCCUACGGGAGGCAGCAGUGGGGGAUAUUGCACAAUGGGGGAAACCCUGAUGCAGCGACGCCGCGUGAGUGAAGAAGUAAUUCGUUACGUAAAGCUCUAUCAGCAGGGAAGAAAAUGACGGUACCUGACUAAGAAGCCCCGGCUAACUACGUGCCAGCAGCCGCGGUAAUACGUAGGGGGCAAGCGUUAUCCGGAAUUACUGGGUGUAAAGGGAGCGUAGGCGGGGAUGCAAGUUGGGUGUCAAAACUACCGGCUCAACUGGUAGUCGCACUCAAAACUGCAGCUCUUGAGUGAAGUAGAGGCAGGCGGAAUUCCUAGUGUAGCGGUGAAAUGCGUAGAUAUUAGGAGGAACACCAGUGGCGAAGGCGGCUUACUGGACUGUAACUGACGUUGAGGCUCGAAAGCGUGGGGAGCAAACAGGAUUAGAUACCCGCGUAU
rnacentral:rRNA from 1 species